CCCUUAGAUGUUCUGGGCGGCCCGCGCACUACAUUGGCACUAGCAAAGAGAUCCUAGAUUGAAUUCUUUGGGGUAUUCUUCUAAAUGGUGUCGUGACUGGGAUAAAUCCUUGUAAUUAUUGGUUUUGAACGAGGAAUUCCUUGUAAUCGCGGUUUAUCAGCUCGCGUUGAAUGCGUCCCUGUCCUUUGUACACACCGCCCGUCGCUCCUACCGAUGGAUCGUCCGGUGAAGCUCACGGAGUGACUGUUCACGCAACGGUUUACGAAGUGAAAUGGACCUCACGAUUUAGAGGAAGGAGAAGUCGUAACA
rnacentral:rRNA from 1 species